UACGAAGGGGGCUAGCGUUGUUCGGAAUUACUGGGCGUAAAGCGCGCGCAGGCGGUCUUCCAAGUCAGUGGUGAAAGCCCGGAGCUCAACUCCGGAACUGCCAUUGAAACUGUUAGACUUGAGGAUGAGAGAGGUGAGUGGAAUUCCCAGUGUAGAGGUGAAAUUCGUAGAUAUUGGGAAGAACACCGGUGGCGAAGGCGGCUCACUGGCUCAUUACUGACGCUGAGGAGCGAAAGCGUGGGGAGCGAACAGG
rnacentral:rRNA from 1 species